UGGGGAAUAUUGCACAAUGGAGGGAACUCUGAUGCAGCGACGCCGCGUGAACGAAGAAGGCUUUCGAGUCGUAAAGUUCUUUUAUAUGGGAAGAUAAUGACGGUACCAUAAGAAAAAGCCCCGGCUAACUACGUGCCAGCAGCCGCGGUAAUACGUAGGGGGCUAGCGUUGUCCGGAAUCACUGGGCGUAAAGGGUACGUAGGCGGGUAAGCAAGUUAGAAGUGAAAUCCUGUAGCUCAACUACAGUAAGCUUUUAAAACUGCUCAUCUUGAGAUAUGGAAGGGAAAGUGGAAUUCCUAGUGUAACGGUGAAAUGCGCAGAUAUUAGGAGGAAUACCGGUGGCGAAGGCGACUUUCUGGCCAUAAUCUGACGCUGAGGUACGAAAGCGUGGGUAGCAAACAGG
rnacentral:rRNA from 1 species